UUGGCCAUGACCUAGAGAGAAGAUAGAGAGAGAGGGAGGCGAGCUAGAGAGAGAGAAAGGAAGGGCUGCCAUAUUUUUCUAGAGAAGAAGAAGAAGAAAAGAAAGAGAAGGAGAAGAAGAAGAGGGUUUCGAACCCGAGGUGACCAGAUUUUCUUGCUAGAGUGUUCUUGAUUCAACAAUCAAGAGAGGCUCGUUGAGAGGUUGUGAAAUUUCUUAGCUCGGACCUGAGGUAGCAAAUAUGAUUUCUUUAUGGCACGCGUGGUGACGUGAGGAGUUCUAUCAUCGUGGGGUGUAUGGCGUGGGAUAAUCCUAUGGACGGAAAAACGAUCAUCUUAGAACGCCAUUUAAAUUAUGUUUUGUUUUAAGAAACUUUCCUAAUUAUCAGUGGGACUCAGUUAUUUAAUUUUUUUUGUUUCUUUGGACUUUGCAUAAAAAAUUAUGUUUUCUUUUAAAACUAAUGGCGCCAACAUGCAUGGUUUUUAAGCAAGUCCCCACUGAGACUUUGAUAAUGAGUGGUAUUCUCUUAUAAACUAUGUUAUGCGAAUGUUUUAUAAGUAUUAGUAUAGGUCGUUCAUUACACAAGGUGAAUCACAUCUUCAGGUGAAAUAAAUAAGUAUUGAUCACUAUCCAAAAUUUCUGGGUCCAUGGCAAUACGAAAUGUGUGUGAAGGUUCAUAAAGUCGAACAGCUAGUAAAACAACUUUUACACUCUUUGGAGCAUCCUUGGGCAUCUCAAAUUGAAUUGGAGAUUUUUGCACUUCCUUUAAACUUGUGGAGGAUGUACUGGGAAUUUGUGAAGAAGAAGGUUGAUCUUUUUCUUUACAUGGCUCCAGUUGAGGUGAAAGACUAUGUUGUUUAUUCUGAAACAAAAAUUGAUUAGAAAAAAACAU